CAUAAGCCAGCUUGACUGCGAGCGUGACGGCGCGAGCAGGUGCGAAAGCAGGUCAUAGUGAUCCGGUGGUUCUGAAUGGAAGGGCCAUCGCUCAACGGAUAAAAGGUACUCCGGGGAUAACAGGCUGAUACCGCCCAAGAGUUCAUAUCGACGGCGGUGUUUGGCACCUCGAUGUCGGCUCAUCACAUCCUGGGGCUGAAGUAGGUCCCAAGGGUAUGGCUGUUCGCCAUUUAAAGUGGUACGCGAGCUGGGUUUAGAACGUCGUGAGACAGUUCGGUCCCUAUCUGCCGUGGGCGCUGGAAGAUUGAGGGGGGCUGCUCCUAGUACGAGAGGACCGGAGUGGACGCAUCACUGGUGUUCGGGUUGUCAUGCCAAUGGCACUGCCCGGUAGCUACAUGCGGAAGAGAUAAGUGCUGAAAGCAUCUAAGCACGAAACUUGCCCCGAGAUGAAUCUUCCCUGAGCCUUUAAGGCUCCUGAAGGAACGUUGAAGACGACGACGUUGAUAGGCCGGGUGUGUAAGCGCAGCGAUGCGUUGAGCUAACCGGUACUAAUGAACCGUGAGGCUUAACCUUACAACGCCGAA
rnacentral:rRNA from 1 species